rnacentral:lncRNA from 7 species
AGUUUGUAAUAGCAGUACGUAUUCAGUAGAGUAUUCGUACAUUCUGUUUGAGUAUUCGUAGAGGUCGAAGUAACCGACCUAGUGGGCCUAUAAAAUGUAUCCAGAGAUUGAACAGCCAGGAGAAAAGAAGAAGAAAGUAGACACCGCAACUUAUCUGUGUCGAGUGGAGAUUUCUUCACGCUCGUUUCAGGCGCUCACGUCCGGACUCUCGUCGGCGGCCACGGGUACAACUCCAUAGGUGACCUAGGGUCAUCACACCACCCUAGCACAGUUCGAUUCCAAAUUUCCAAUGUGUUAGGGGAAUGCCACUAAAAGCAAC